GGCUCGAUGGUGUAGUGGUAGCACGCACCCACGGUAUGGGUGAAACGCGUGUUCAACUCUCGUUUGAUGCCG